rnacentral:rRNA from 1 species
UACGAAGGGGGCUAGCGUUGCUCGGAAUCACUGGGCGUAAAGCGCACGUAGGCGGACUCUUAAGUCGGUGGUGAAAUCCUGGAGCUCAACUCCAGAACUGCCUUUGAUACUGAAGAUCUUGAGUUCGGGAGAGGUGAGUGGAACUGCGAGUGUAGAGGUGAAAUUCGUAGAUAUUCGCAAGAACACCAGUGGCGAAGGCGGCUCACUGGCCCGAUACUGACGCUGAGGAGCGAAAGCAUGGGUAGCGAACAGG